rnacentral:rRNA from 1 species
AGCAGUAGGGAAGUCUUCCACAAUGGGCGGCAAGCCUGAUGGAGCAACACCGCGUGAGUGAAGAAGGGUUUCGGCUCGUAAAGCUCUGUUGUUAAAGAAGAACACGUAUGAGAGUAACUGUUCAUACGUUGACGGUAUUUAACCAGAAAGUCACGGCUAACUACGUGCCAG